rnacentral:rRNA from 1 species
CGCUCUUUGAAAACUAUACAUAAAGAGUCGAACCUGCCCAGUGGAAAUUCUCAACGGCCGCAGUACCCUGACUGUGCAAAGGUAGCAUAAUCACUUGCCUUAUAAUUGAAGGCUAGAAUGAAUGGUUUGACGAAAGCUAAGCUGUCUCUUUUGUAUUAAAUAAAAAUUAGCUUUUAGGUGAAGAGACCUGAAUAAAAUUGAUAGACGAAAAGACCCUAUUGAGCUUAAGAGAAAAAAUAAAAACUAUUUAGAUCUUUCAAAUAAAAUUUAUUUUUUCUCUUUUGUUGGGGCGACAAAAGAACAAAAAUAGCUUCUUUUUAUUAAUUUAAUAGAUAUAUUAUUUGAUCCACUAUUAAUUGUGAUUAGAAGAAAAAGUUACCAUAGGGAUAACAGCGUAAUCUUUUUGGAGAGCUCUUAUUGAAAAAAAGGUUUGCGACCUCGAUGUUGGAUUAAGAAAACUUUUAGGUGCAGUAACUACUAAAAGUUGGUCUGUUCGACCAUUAAAUUCUU